GACGACAAGUAAAUAAAAAGGCAACACACUGAAAAUCAAGAAGACUAUGGUUCAAAUAUUUUAACAGAGUUAUUAACAUUGCAGUAGUGUGACAUUAUAUUUUAAGAUUAAAGUUUUUGGCUUAAGGCUGAAGUAUUUAUAUUCUCGAUUUUAAUUUAUCAUACUAUCGAGACUAAUAUUAUAUGGAGAGAUGGAGUAGUCAGCACUGUGUCAAUCUGCCUUUAAUCUUCCUAACGUAUGUUAGAUACCGUUCAAACCUAGGUGGACCGAGGGACAUCCUGAAGCUUCGAGAUCGGAGCGAGAUCCAAACUCGAGACCCUAUGGAUGCAGUCGAGUGCUCUACUAUUAGAGUCAAAUAAUUAAACGUUUAAAAUAGCUUAGGGUAAAUCUGAUUCAGUCGACCGCAUGAUACUGACAGGUUUUGUAACUGCUAUUUGUAAGGAAUAAAUACAAAUUCGUGCUAUUUUUCCAUUCUAUUAUUGCUUUUAAGCGAUCUUUGUAAUUCUGCUUUUGAUAAUAUUUUUCAUACUUAACUUGUUUGAUAGCUCAAAGCUGCUUGUGUCUUGAUGAUAUUGUUCUCACAUUAGCAGACUAGACCUUACCAGCACUUAAUGAUCCCUUCCUUGCAGGAGCAGAGAAUUCCAAUGCUUGAGAAACAGCCAACACAUUACAUGAAACUGGAAUCGGUGAAUUUAUAGCCGGGUUAUCUAAACCGUUGGAGGUCCUGUUGAAAAAAGCUGUCGUAAUAAUAAAACUGUAUCGAAUAAUGGAGACGACUUAGAUAGCUGCUCUGGUGUUUUCGGAUGAAACAAAGCAGUUUUUAUAUUUCUUCCAAAUACUUGACGAUGCUGGUAAAGGGAAAGAACUCAAGCUGCCUUUUGUUAAGAAUAGAACAGAAGUAGUCUCACAGUGCAGUAGAAUAAAGCAAGAGUUGUCUAUCGCCUGAUUUAAUUAUUACAAGGUCUAUGUAAUUCAGUGUAGCUUGAAUCAAGUUGUAUUGAAAUCGUUAUGUUGUGGGCCAACGCAAUGAAGAUUUACACAUGCACGUUGUUGUUUUUUGUCGCACAGCACAUCUGUACACAAGCAGAGUGUAUGAGCAAAAAGGCUGGGAAGUUUGAAAGCAACUGCUAUGAGGUAAUCAAAACAGAAUUGAAUUGGACUGAAGCGCAGGAUUACUGCUAAAAUUUAAAUGAAAAAACAAGCCUGGCCAAAGUUUCUUCAAAAAAGUGUUGGGCUUUGUAAAUAAAAUCAGACCAGAUAAAACACGAG